GACGAACGCUGGCGGCGUGCUUAACACAUGCAAGUCGAGCGGUAAGGCCCUUUCGGGGGUACACGAGCGGCGAACGGGUGAGUAACACGUGGGUGACCUGCCCUCAGCUCUGGGAUAAGCCUGGGAAACCGGGUCUAAUACCGGAUAUGACUCCAUGACGCAUGUUGUGGGGUGGAAAGCCUUGUGCGGCUGAGGAUGGGCCCGCGGCCUAUCAGCUUGUUGGUGGGGUGANGGCCUACCAAGGCGACGACGGGUAGCCGGCCUGAGAGGGCGACCGGCCACACUGGGACUGAGACACGGCCCAGACUCCUACGGGAGGCAGCAGUGGGGAAUCUUGCGCAAUGGGCGAAAGCCUGACGCAGCGACGCCGCGUGAGGGAUGACGGCCUCGGUUGUAA
rnacentral:rRNA from 1 species